UCCGCGGUAGCUCAAUGGUAGAGCAAACGACUGUUAAUCGUUAGGUUACAGGUUCGAAUCCUGUCCGCGGAG
rnacentral:tRNA from 1 species